UUGUGGAGCGAUUUGUCUGGUCAAUUCCGAUAAUAAACGAGACUAGCCUACUAAAUAGUUCGAGGACCCCCACAAAGGGGUCCAGCUUAAACUUCUUGGAGGGGACAGGUGGCGUUUAGCCACACGAGAUUGAGCAAUAACA
rnacentral:rRNA from 1 species